GCCUACACAUGCAAGUCGAGCGGCAGCACGGGUACUUGUACCUGGUGGCGAGCGGCGGACGGGUGAGUAAUGCCUAGGAAUCUGCCUGGUAGUGGGGGAUAACGCUCGGAAACGGACGCUAAUACCGCAUACGUCCUACGGGAGAAAGCAGGGGACCUUCGGGCCUUGCGCUAUCAGAUGAGCCUAGGUCGGAUUAGCUAGUUGGUGAGGUAAUGGCUCACCAAGGCGACGAUCCGUAACUGGUCUGAGAGGAUGAUCAGUCACACUGGAACUGAGACACGGUCCAGACUCCUACGGGAGGCAGCAGUGGGGAAUAUUGGACAAUGGGCGAAAGCCUGAUCCAGCCAUGCCGCGUGUGUGAAGAAGGCCUUCGGGUUGUAAAGCACUUUAAGUUGGGAGGAAGGGCAUUUACCUAAUACGUAAGUGUUUUGACGUUACCGACAGAAUAAGCACCGGCUAACUCUGUGCCAGCAGCCGCGGUAAU
rnacentral:rRNA from 1 species